AGAUUGAACGCUGGCGGCAUGCCUUACACAUGCAAGUCGAACGGCAGCACGGGAGCAAUCCUGGUGGCGAGUGGCGAACGGGUGAGUAAUACAUCGGAACGUGCCCAAUCGUGGGGGAUAACGCAGCGAAAGCUGUGCUAAUACCGCAUAAGAUCCACGGAUGAAAGCAGGGGAUCGCAAGACCUUGCGCGAAUGGAGCGGCCGAUGGCAGAUUAGGUAGUUGGUGAGGUAAAGGCUCACCAAGCCUUCGAUCUGUAGCUGGUCUGAGAGGACGGCCAGCCACACUGGGACUGAGACACGGGCCCAG
rnacentral:rRNA from 1 species